rnacentral:rRNA from 1 species
AGCGAACGCUGGCGGCAGGCCUAACACAUGCAAGUCGAACGAACUCUUCGGAGUUAGUGGCGGACGGGUGAGUAACACGUGGGAACGUGCCUUUAGGUUCGGAAUAACUCAGGGAAACUUGUGCUAAUACCGAAUGUGCCCUUCGGGGGAAAGAUUUAUCGCCUUUAGAGCGGCCCGCGUCUGAUAGCUAGUUGGUGAGGUAAAGGCUCACCAAGGCGACGAUCAGUAGCUGGUCUGAGAGGAUGAUCAGCCACAUUGGGACUGAGACACGGCCCAAACUCCUACGGGAGGCAGCAGUGGGGAAUCUUGCGCAAUGGGCGAAAGCCUGACGCAGCCAUGCCGCGUGAAUGAUGAAGGUCUUAGGAUUGUAAAAUUCUUUCACCGGGGACGAUAAUGACGGUACCCGGAGAAGAAGCCCCGGCUAACUUCGUG